GGGCCCGCACAAGCGGUGGAGCAUGUGGUUUAAUUCGAUGCAACGCGAAGAACCUUACCUACUCUUGACAUCCAGAGAAGCCAGCGGAGACGCAGGUGUGCCUUCGGGAACUCUGAGACAGGUGCUGCAUGGCUGUCGUCAGCUCGUGUUGUGAAAUGUUGGGUUAAGUCCCGCAACGAGCGCAACCCUUAUCCUUGUUUGCCAGCACGUAAUGGUGGGAACUCCAGGGAGACUGCCGGUGAUAAACCGGAGGAAGGUGGGGACGACGUCAAGUCAUCAUGGCCCUUACGAGUAGGGCUACACACGUGCUACAAUGGCGCAUACAGAGGGCGGCCAACUUGCGAGAGUGAGCGAAUCCCAAAAAGUGCGUCGUAGUCCGGAUCGGAGUCUGCAACUCGACUCCGUGAAGUCGGAAUCGCUAGUAAUCG
rnacentral:rRNA from 1 species